UUAAGUCAGGCAACGAGCGAGACCCGUGCCCACUGUUACCAGCAUGUCCUCCGGGACGAUGGGUACUCUGUGGGGACCGCCGGUGUUAAAUCGGAGGAAGGUGCGGGCCACGGUAGGUCAGUAUGCCCCGAAUCUCCCGGGCUACACGCGGGCUACAAUGGAUGGGACAAUGGGUCCCUACCCCGAAAGGGGUUGGCAAUCUCACAAACCCAUUCGUAGUUCGGAUCGAGGGCUGUAACUCGCCCUCGUGAAGCUGGAAUCCGUAGUAAUCGCGUUUCAAUAUAGCGCGGUGAAUACGUCCCUGCUCCUUGCACA
rnacentral:rRNA from 1 species